CACCUAAACGGCGAAACUGCGAAUGGCUCAUUAAAUCAGUUAUCGUAUAUUUGAUAGUACCUACUACAUGGAUAACCGUGGUAAUUCUAGAGCUAAUACAUGCUUAAAAUCCCGACUUCGGAAGGGAUGUAUUUAUUAGAUUAAAAACCAAUGCCCUUCGGGGCUCACUGGUGAUUCAUAAUAACUUCUCGAAUCGCAUGGCCUUGUGCCGGCGAUGGUUCAUUCAAAUUUCUGCCCUAUCAACUUUCGACGGCUGGGUCUUGGCCAGCCGUGGUUACAACGGGUAACGGAGGGUUAGGGCUUGACCCCGGAGAAGGAGCCUGAGAAACGGCUACUACAUCCAAGGAAGGCAGCAGGCGCGCAAAUUACCCAAUCCCGAUACGGGGAGGUAGUGACAAUAAAUACUGAUACAGGGCUCUUUUGGGUCUUGUAAUUGGAAUGAGUACAAUUUAAAUCCCUUAACGAGGAACAAUUGGAGGGCAAGUCUGGUGCCAGCAGCCGCGGUAAUUCCAGCUCCAAUAGCGUAUAUUAAAGUUGUUGCAGUUAAAAAGCUCGUAGUUGAACCUUGGGCCUGGCUGGCCGGUCUGCCUCACCGCAUGCACUGGUCCGGCCGGGCCUUUCCCUCUGGGGAGCCGCAUGCCCUUCACUGGGUGUGUCGGGGAACCAGGACUUUUACUGUGAAAAAAUUAGAGUGUUCAAAGCAGGCCUAUGCUCGAAUACAUUAGCAUGGAAUAAUAGAAUAGGACGUUGCGGUUCUAUUUUGUUGGUUUCUAGGACCGCCGUAAUGAUUAAUAGGGACAGUCGGGGGCAUCAGUAUUCAAUCGUCAGAGGUGAAAUUCUUGGAUCGAUUGAAGACUAACUACUGCGAAAGCAUUUGCCAAGGAUGUUUUCAUUAAUCAGGAACGAAAGUUAGGGGAUCGAAAACGAUCAGAUACCGUUGUAGUCUUAACCAUAAACUAUGCCGACUAGGGAUCGGGCGAUGUUUUUCUUUGACUCGCUCGGCACCUUACACGAAAGUAAAGUUUUUGGGUUCUGGGGGGAGUANNNNCG
rnacentral:rRNA from 1 species